AUUCGUCUGGAGUCUGAAGACCGAGGGGAAUGAAUGGGAUUUCUACACUACACAAGCACCGACGAGGCGACGACGCUCGAUCGUACAGGCACAAAGCACAACCAAAAUAAGCCACGUCUCCUUCACAAAGAGCUCCCUCGGCGGUGCGUUCCUCGCCCAGCGCGUCCGUCAGGAAACGCUGCGCCGCCGCCGGAUCGGUAGUCGAUCGGCCGGUUGCAAGUCGAUCGAUCGCCGCUUCCCGUCGGCCGCCGGAGAUUUGCACUGACUACGACAUCUCGGCGGUUUCAUGAGUUCGGGGCAGAAGAUGUGCAUGGAUGAAGCUCUGCUCAAGGAACCUGUUAAUCAGCCUGCACCGAAGAAUCAAGAUGAUCCAAUGGAGACAUUGGGGGCAUCUCCUUCGUGGUCUUCUCCUACAUGGACCUUGUCGUGCUCUUCUACUUCCUUCGCCAGUUUGAGAGGACUCCGCCAGAGUCACCUCGCCGACAGCACAUCAAGAUGGUGGUG